AUUCCAUCAAUAUAGGAUUCCCAUUGUGUUACGUGAAAUGUCAAGAUCAUAACAUUUUUCCUCAACUUAAAAUGACCAAACGACACAAAAAUGGCGUGACCAGGUGCAUCGUGAUUACAUUUGCUAGGUUAAUUGCCAACCACUCGUGAGAGCAGUACCAAUUUGAAUCCGCCCAUCAGCGACCAAACACACCAAUGCCAUGUAUGCAAAUUAAAACGCAAACCGACCUUGCUCCUGCAUGGUAUGCAUCCAGCGAUGCAUUCGAGUGGCACAAUCCUUCCGUUCUGGUUGCGAUUGCUCUCGUCGAAUCCAAGCUCACGUGACAUCGAUUGAGAUCACACGCACCUGAAAUGGAGCAGUCUUUGGAGUUUUUCGUUAAAAAAUCUUCAAAUCCAAAACCGGUGAAAAUUUCCGCCUUCAUUCCCGCCACGAGUUUCAUCCCCGGACAGCAAAUCCCUGUUACAGUCACUAUCAUCAAAGGAGGCCUUCAAAAAAUUCGCUCGAUCGGUAUCAAGCUGUUUCGUGUGGAACGCAGUGAUUUGACUCGCUGCCAUCAGGUGGUGUUGGCGUGUGUCAAAACGAAAGAUUUCAUCAACCCCGGUAACAAAGUUACCUAUGAAAUGGAUUUGCUGAUACCGCGGAAGCAAAGCAAGUGCAAGACGAAAGAAGAAGAAAAAGACGAUCAACGGAGGCUGUAUGAUCACGAGGUGCGGAUAUCUGUGAAAUUUGGUGGUUUCAGAAGAAGCUGUAGACUGUGUAUCCCCGUUCUGAUCGAUUCGAUAGGGCAGAAGAAGGGGACAAUCUGGGAAGGUGAUAGCGGCUUUCUUAUGCCGAUAUUUGCUUUUAAAUAGAAUAUUUUGUUGUUUGUUUGCUUAGAUGGCUAAUUUUUUACCAAUAAAUAGACAUUCAUUUUGAAUAACCCCCAAAUAAUGAAAUAAAUUAACAGAUACCGUUCACUA